CUCCAGCUCCUAACCGCGAGUGAUCCGCCAGCCUUGGCCUCCCGAGGUGCCGGGAUUGCAGACGGAGUCUGGUUCACUCAGCGCUCAAUGGUGCCCAGGCUGGAGUGCAGUGGCGUGAUCUCAGCUCGCUACAACCUCCAUCUCCCAGCCGCCUGCCUUGGCCUCCCAAAGUGCCGAGAUUGCAGCCUCUGCCCGGCCACCACCCCGUCUGGGAAGUGAGGAGCGUCUCUGCCUGGCCGCCCAUCGUCUGGGACGUGAGGAGCCCCUCUGCCUGGCUGCCCAGUCUGGAAAGUGAGGAGCGUCUCUGACCGGCCGCCAUCCCAUCUAGGAAGUGAGGAGCGCCUCUUCCCGGCAGCCAUCCCAUCUGGGAAGUGAGGAGCGUCUCUGCCCGGCCGCCCAUCGUCUGAGAUGUGGGGAGCGCCUCUGCCCCGCCGCCCCGUCUGGGAGGUGAGGAGCGUCUCUGCCCGGCCGCCCCGUCUGAGAAGUGAGGAGACCCUCCGCCCAGCAUCCGCCCCAUCUGAGAAGUGAGGAGCCCCUCCGCCCGGCAGCCGCCCCGUCUGAGAAGUGAGGAGUCCCUCUGCCCGGCAGCCACCCAGUCUGGGAAGUGAGGAGCGUCUCCGCCCGGCAGCCGCCCCGGCCGGGAGGGAGGUGGGGGGGUCAGCCCCCCGCCCGGCCAGCCGCCCCGUCCGGGAGGGAGGUGGGGGGGUCAGCCCCCCGUCCGGGAGGGAGGUGGGGGCGGUCAGCCCCCCGCCCGGCCAGCCGCCCCAUCCGGGAGGGAGGUGGGGGGGUCAGCCCCCCGCCCGGCCAGCCGCCCCGUCCGGGAGGGAGGUGGGGGGUCAGCCCCCCUCCCGGCCAGCCGCCCCGUCCGGGAGGUGAGGGGCGCCUCUGCCCAGCCGCCCCUACUGGGAAGUGAGGAGCCCCUCUGCCUGGCCAGCCACCCCGUCCAGGAGGGAGGUGGGGGAGUCAGCCCCCCACCCGGCCAGCCGCCCCGUCCGGGAGGGAGGUGGGGGGGUCAGCCCCCCGCCCGGCCAGCCGCCCCGUCCGGGAGGGAGGUGGGGGGGUCAGCCCCCCGCCCGGCCAGACGCCCCGUCCGGGAGGUGAGGGGCGCCUCUGCCCGGCCGCCCCUACUAGGAAGUGAGGAGCCCCUCUCCCAGCCACCACCUCGUCUGGGAGGUGUACCCAACAGCUCAUUGAGAACGGGCCGGGAUGACAAUGGCGGUUUUGUGGAAUAGAAAGGGGGGAAAGGUGGGGAAAAGAUUGAGAAAUCGGAUGGUUGCCGGGUCUGUGUAGAAAGAAGUAGACAUGGGAGACUUUUCAUUUUGUUCUGUACUAAGAUAAAUUCUUCUGCCUUGGGAUCCUGUUGAUCGGUGACCUUACCCCCAACCCUGUGCUCUCUGAAACAUGUGCUGUGUCCACUCAGGGUUAAAUGGAUUAAGGGCGGUGCAAGAUGUGCUUUGUUAAACAGAUGCUUGAAGGCAGCAUGCUCGUUAAGAGUCAUCACCACUCCUUAAUCUCAAGUACCCAGGGACACAAACACUGCGGAAGGCCGCAGGGUCCUCUGCCUAGGAAAACCAGAGACCUUUGUUCACUUGUUUAUCUGCCAACCUUCCCUCCACUAUUGUCCUAUGACCCUGCCAAAUCCCCCUCUGCGAGAAACACCCAAGAAUGAUCAAUAAAAAAA
rnacentral:lncRNA from 1 species